UACGUAGGUGGCAAGCGUUGUCCGGAUUUACUGGGCGUAAAGAGCGCGCAGGCGGUCGGAUUAGUCGCGUGUGAAAGCCCCCGGCUCAACUGGGGAGGGUCACGCGAUACUGUUCGACUCGAAGGCAGGAGAGGGAAGUGGAAUUCCCGGUGUAGUGGUGAAAUGCGUAGAUAUCUGGAGGAACACCGGUGGCGAAGGCGGCAUUCUGGACUGCAACUGACACUGAAAGACGAAAGCCAGGGGAGCAAACGGG
rnacentral:rRNA from 1 species